UUGAUAUCGUUUGAAAAAUUAGUGUCAAGAAUGUUAAGGUUAAAAAGAAUGGAAUUAGUACCUGUUGCUUGCUAACGCAAUUUUCUCGAACAUCAUCGUUUUUCUGGUUCUAUAAUAUAAUUUCAUUGCCAUAUAAAUAAAACAAAAUGAAAAAAAAGAAACGAUAAGAAAGUAACAGACUGUAAUAUCAUAUAAAGUAUUACCACUGAAAGUUAAUAAAAUUAAUAAGAUAGACGUGUUCAUUUUGCAACAACAAACGAUAUCUUCUUAAAAAGAAAAAGAAAAAAAUCUCGUUCAAACCGCAAGAUAUACUCGAUGAUAUAAACGAAACAGUGUUAAAACAGUGGAACGAUUCUUCCAUUCCUGGGUGUAAUCUUCUCUAAAGCGUAGUGUUCCUUAACCUCCGCUGAAUAUCAAGUUUCAAAACCAUCCCCGGCUCACGGAAUCCUGGAAUUCUUAAAAACUGGAAACUUCUUUGCGCCAAGAUAGUUGAAAUCACCGGCCACGUUGCUCCAACGUUGUAAUUAAACAGCAUGCGAUUUUCUUUGCUUCGUUCGGUCGAAAGGGGAUAGUGAAAUAAGAAGAAGGAUGCAGAGACAAAGGGAUGCAGAGAAGAAGGGUGAAGAAGGAGUACGAAUGCGAUGCUCUACUGGGGUGAGGGUGCAAAGAUAUUUACGACUUCGAAAGAGGGAAAGGGAUGCUUUGGAAAGGAAGGAUGGAGAGAGGGGUUUGGAUGCCGGAUCUUUCCAUCCUCACGAGACCAUUUCGUGAGGGAUUCAUUAAGAUAGAACGAAGGUGUUAAUAUAAUGAACAUUGUCGGCAGAACUCGGUGUGUGUGUACCACUUUGCUCCUCAUAAGGUAGGGAUCUCAGCCAUGCUCUCUUUAUUUCAUACGACCUGAGGAAUAGAAGGGACGAGAAACGAAUAUAAGGAGAGGAUUACCGAAUGAAGAGACGAGAUAUUAUAUUUUAUAGUAAGGGAAAAGGUAUGGAGUUAAAAUAUUGAAUUUAUUUAUAGUUUUUAGUUGGAGUUUAUUAUUUUAGAGUUUUUAUAAUUCUUCGUUUGAGAUAUGACGAUUUGUUUGAAGAUGAAAUUUCAUAUUUAUUUUAUUUCUAUGUUUUCUCAUGCGUAGGAUAUAUUUUUAUUAUAUUUUAUUUUAUUUUUUUUAAAGCAUAAAGUUGUCUCCAAGAUAUGUACAAGAUAUAUCAAAAGAGGAUACAUUUAUUCUUUAUAUAUAUAUUUGUGAGCAGUAUACUUUAUUUAUACAUGCUCUCUUUUUAUCCAUUUAAAAUUGGUAUUUCUCUAUGAUAUUUUAUUACAUCUUUCUCGUUGAUACGAUAGAAAGCUGGACUUCGUUUAUUGCACAUAUAGUAAGCAGGUCAACGAGAACUUAUCAAACAAUAGAAUAUAAAACAAACUCUUAUACCAUAAUAUCCCUUUUUUUAUAUCUUCUUUUAUUAGAUUUUACACACAUUGAAAAUAUAGAUGAAACUAUAUGACGAAACGUACGUAACAAAUAUAGUUAUACGUAAAUAAAUAAAUGAAUAAAUAAAAUCGUUUUAAUUCUAUACAAAUUUUAAUUCCACACAAUAUCGAAUAUAAUAAAGACGUUGAAAGAUAAUUUCUCAUUGGUCUAAGUUUCAUUAAUUUGUAACAAAGAUGACAGAAAGUUUGAGAACGUUCUUAAUCCAAUUUUAUUAAAAAAAAAAAAAAAUUUUUAAUCAUACGUGGUACAUGUAGUCAGGGAUGGAAGGAACACGGAU